GCAAUUUGUAGCCAACGUGGAGCAGACCAUGGAUUUAGAUCAUAUCCUCUGCCCACAUUUAAGAAAGAUUUAUGUAGUCUUUAUUUCCUGAACCUCCCUUUACAAAUAACAUGCCAUUCACCAGAUUAUGUGGAGAUAACAUGCCAUUCACCAGAUUAUGUGGACAACUUCUUUCUUUAAGAAAUAAUUAUUCAUGCAUAACAUGUAUUACUUUCAUUUAUAUCAUUACAACCAAAUAGAAGUGAAGACCAAUUAAUUGUUUCGUAGAAACUAGUCACUACUGAGAUACAAAUACCCUAAAUAACACAUUUUGUAACUUCACAUCAUAUCUCAAGCCCCUACAACAUGCGGUCCACCUGUGUCCCAAACAAUUUCAAAACAAUGUAUAAACCUUAAAAUGAGUUUGUGCACUGGACAUAAACUACUUUUCUUUAUAGCUUUGUACCCCAACCCCACUCUGUUUCCAGAAUAAAAUAUUGCCUACAAAAUAAAAUAAAAAUAUCAUCUAUUUAACUCGAAUCAAAUGGUAGCACCAGCACGAUUAAAUCUCAGGGCAUCAAGUAUCGUGACUAAUUUCUGGUAACAAAAUAUUUAUAAAGCCCGAAUUCUUAAUUUAAUAACAGUUUGAAAUUUAAUCAGUUU
rnacentral:lncRNA from 1 species